UACGUAGGGUGCAAGCGUUGUCCGGAAUUAUUGGGCGUAAAGAGCUCGUAGGCGGUCUGUCGCGUCUGCUGUGAAAACUCAGGGCUUAACCCUGAGCUUGCAGUGGGUACGGGCAGACUAGAGGUAGGUAGGGGAGAAUGGAAUUCCCGGUGUAGCGGUGAAAUGCGCAGAUAUCAGGAGGAACACCGGUGGCGAAGGCGGGUCUCUGGGCCGAUACUGACGCUGAGGAGCGAAAGCGUGGGGAGCGAACAGG
rnacentral:rRNA from 1 species